rnacentral:lncRNA from 1 species
CCCCCAAAGCCACGGGGGGAACAGCCCAGAAAUGGGGGAACUGGGAUGGGGGAACUGGGAUGGGGGAACUGGGAUGGGGGAACUGGGAUGGGGAACAAGAUCCAGAAACUUGGGGGGCCCCCAAAACCGAGGGGAUCCCAAAAACCCCACCCCAAACCCCAAAAUCUGCUCCUGAACCUUCCAAAGUGCGCCUGACACCCCUGGAGCUGCUGCACCAGUGCUCCCAGUCCCAGUGCCCCCAGUCCCAGUCCCAGUGCCCCCAGUCCUUCCCAGUGCUCCCAGUCCCAGUGUCCCAGUCCCAGUCCCAGUGCCCCCAGUGCCUCCCAGUGCUCCCAAUCCCAGUGUCCCAGUCCCAGUCCCAGCCCAGUCCCAGUCCGUCCCAGUGCCCCCAGUGCCUCCAGUCCCUCCCAGUGCCCCCAGUCCCAGUCCCAGUGCCCCCAGUCCUGGUGCUGGUUUCCUGGUGCCCUAGUCCCAGUGCCAGUGCUCCAGUCCCAGUUCCCCGUUUUCCCAGUCCCAGUUCCCCGGUCCCAGUUCCCCGUUUCCCCGGUGUCCCAGUGCUGGUUCCGGUUCGGUGCCAGUUCCCCGGUUCCCCGGUCCCAGUUCCCCGUUUCCCCGGUGCCGGUUCGGUUUGGUGCCGGUUCAGUGCCGGUUCCCCAGUUCCCCAGUCCCAGUUCCCCGUUUCCCCGGUGCUGGUUCCCCAGUCCCAGUUCCCUGGUUUCCCAUUUCCCCAGUGCCGGUUCGGUGCUGGUUUCCCAGUUCCCCAGUGUCCCAGUUCCCCGUUUCCCCAGUCCCAUUUCCCCGGUGUCCUGGUGCUGGUUCUGGUUCGGUGCCGGUUCCCUAUUUCCCCAGUUCCCCAGUCCCAGUUCCCCAGUCCCAGUUCCCGUUUCCCUGGUGCCGGUUCAGUGCCGGUUCCCCAGUGUCCCAGUCCCAGUGUCCCAGUCCGUUCCCCGUUUCCCCAGUUCUGGUUUGAUUUGGUGCCAGUUCCCAGUUCCCCAGUCCCAGUUCCCCAUUUCCCAGGUCCAGUUCUGGUUCGUUUCUGGUUCGGUUCCAGUUUCCCAUUUCCCCAGUUCCGGUUCGGUUCCGGUUCCCCGUUUCCCUAGUUCCCGUUUCCCCAGUCCCGUUUCCCUGGUCCGGUUCGGUUCUGGUUCCCCAUUUCCCCGUUUCCCCGGUUCGGUUCUGGUUCGGUUCCGGUUCCCCAUUUCCCCAUUUCCCCGUUGUCCCGGUUCCAUUUCCCCAUUUCCCCGUUGUCCCGGUUCCGGUUCGGUUCCGGUU